GCGGUUUGGGCUCUCCAGGAAUGGACCGAGCCGUCGAGUCUAGGGCAUUUGGUGUAGAUAUGUUGAGGUCCCAAAACGCUGCGUCCAUCGCCGUCCUCAUAUUCGCCAUUUUCUUCACCCCGGCGAAAACGAGGUUGAGGUUGGGGGAGCGUGGAUGUUUUCCUUAUCUGUGACUGUCGCUCUAUUUUGGAAGACCGUGACUGCUAUCAAAGGAGGGUUUUGAAUUUGGGGUUUAGCCGUUUCCCUACUCUUUUUCUCUUUCUUAUUUUUUCCUUCUGCCGGCGAAAACGAGGUUGAGGUUGAGGUUGGGGAGUGUGGAUGUUUCCUUAUCUGUGAUUGUCGCUCUAUUUUGGAAGAACGUGACUGCUAGCAAAGGAGGGUUUUGAAUUUGGGGUUUAGCCGUUUCCCUUCUCUUUUUCUCUUUCUUAUUUUUUCCUCCUUAAUUACAUUUUGGGACUUGACUAAUGCGAUUUAUCUCAUAAAAAUAAGUUAUUCAAUUUCGGUACACAAAAAGUUAUAUUGGAUUAUGAAAUUCAUAUAUAUAAGCUUUUACUAUAUUAUGUUGGUGUAGACAAUAAAUUUAUGUCGAGAAAAUAAAAAGAUCGAAAAAUAUCACAACAAUCGUAGUAUUUUUAUUUAGAAUAUUUGAGUGUUAUAAUCUAUAUGAAUCAUCUGAUUCUUCUUUCUAAUAGUAAAUAAAUUCAAGGGUCUUUGAGCUUGAUCUUGAAUCUAUAUUUAUUUCCACGAACAAUGAUCUUGUUCUUGAGCUUGAGCUUAAGCUGGAUUGCUUGAACUUGACCUUGAUUUGUCUUCAUUCUUGAGCUUGAACUUGAACUUGUGGAGAAAUUUGUAGUGUUUGAUCCACGAGCUCUUUCUUGCUUCUUGUUCUAUCUUCCGGUUCCUUUUCUGGGUUAUGAAGACCCCUAUUUAUAAUUGUGGAAUAGAAGAGUUGUGAUAAGAACAAACUAUUUCCGGCCAAUCAAAUUGAAGUGUGACAUGACCACAUUUGGUUGGCCAGAAUAUGUCACUUGCACACGUGGCGAGAUUUCAUUGGCCUUUUAGUGUGACUUGGCAUGCCUUGUCAUUUUGACAUGUGGCAUGAUCCUAUUGGCUCUUUCGCUUGACUUGGGGCACCACGUCAUUUGACACAUGGUACCAAACUGGGCCUCUAGGAAGAUGAUAUUUUGGGCUUAAUGAAGUAGUUUAAUCACUUUAGCCCAAUUAAAUGGGCUAGCUCAAUGAAUUAAGAUUUAUUUAUAUAUAUUGGAUUUAUAUAAUUAAUCAAUUAUAUUAGCCUAUACUAUUUAUUUGGACCAAUAUAUCUUAAAUUUAAAAUAUAAAUUAAAUUACUUUAAUAAAUUUAAAUUCAAUAAAUUUGAUAUGCCUACAAAUACCUCCACUUCAAGGCUUAGUGAGGUUUAGGCUUGUUGGAUUUCGAGAAUAAGACUUGAAGUACUCAUACUUAAAUACUCGUACAAGAGCUUAUACAUCUGCAAAAUUGAAUAAACCUCACAACACUGUUAUACUUCAAGGGAUAAUAUGUUUACGUCAUAUAGAAUAUUUCUGAAGUUAAAUAGAUUUGGAUUUUUCCACUUCUUUCCACGUGAGUCCAGCAAUUUAAGAAUCUUAAAAUAUGCACACCAAAAAGUUGUGAAGAUAAAAAGCAAUUUGUUGCAUAUCUCAUAUGUUGAUGAUAGUGGGUACACCUAAGUCCAUUGGACUUUGGAACAAAACACAAAAUAACAGUCCCGCGAAACAUGACAGCCUUCCCAAUUGUAGUUGAAUACGAAAUUUGACAAGCCACCGCCUUUGCUAGUCCAAUUUUAUCAGGGAUGGCAAUGUACUUUGACUCAAUUUAGGAGAUAAUUGUACAGUCCCACAUCGAGGAACUACUCUUCUGUAGCUUCUUUGCAAACUCUACAUAAACCCCACGCUCCAAUGUUUCUAGAGCAUCAAUUCUCACUCUUCGCAAGCCACUUGAGUCUAGUUUUGUGGACUCGGAAGCUUUGACGGGAAGGUAAUUUUUUCUUUUCUUUUUUUCUUGUGUUUUCUUUUUUGUUGUCUUUUUUUAGAUCAAACGAGAAAGAUAUGUUCUUGUUAGUGAAAUGAUCCAUGCAUGAAAAAGGCGGUCUCAAGGUAUGAGGGAAUGAGCAUUCAUCCAUGUCUAAAUAUCGGAGAAAUUACUUUCAUAAGCCAAUUUGGGAAUGAGCAUUCAUCCAUGUCUAAAUAUCGGAGAAAUUACUUUCAUAAGCCAAUUCUUAAAGGGAUUACUCUCAAUGUGGUCCAAUUAUUACUCUCAAAAUGGCUCAAUUCUUGGAGAUAUUACUUAAAUUGAAGAGAUCACUCUUAAAGUGGCCCAAUUACCGAAGAGAUUACUCUCAAAGUAGCCCGAUUCUUGGAGAGAUUACUCUCAAUGUGGCCCAAUGCUUAGAGAGAAUACUCUCAAAACGGUCUGAUUCUUGGAGAGAUUACUCUCACAAUGGCUCGACUAUCAGUGAGGUCAACUUAAAGUGCAAAGGGGCUCAAAUGUCCACCUUAAGAUUGGAAAGUUAUAGUUCCUUUAAGGACAAACCCACGAAGAGGCCAACUUAAGGUGCAAAGGGACUUAUGUGUCCACCUUAAGAUUGGAAAGUUAUAAAGCUUCAACUCGAAGAUGACAUCAACUUGAACACUUGGAAAACUUUGAAGAUUUGGCGGACUUUGCAUACUUCAACUUGAAGAUUCGGAGGGCUUAAAUAUUUCAACUUAAAGAUCAGCCGAUUUGAAGACUUCAACGUUGAGACUUCGGACUUUGUGGACUUCAACUCGAAGAUUCAGAGGGCUUAAAUAAUUCAACUUUAAGACCGACGAAUUUGAAGACUGAAACUUGAAGACCGACAAACUUGAAGACUCCAACUUUGAGACUUGGAGAGCCUAAAUAUUUCAACUUGAAGAUUGGUGAAUUUGAAGGCUUCAACUUGAAGACUGACGGACUUGAAAACUUCAACUUUGAGACUUAGAGGGCCUAAAUAUUUCAACUUGAAGAUCAACCAAUUUGAAGACUUCAACUUGAAGACCGACGGAUUUAAAGACUUCAACUUUGAGACUUGGAGGGCCUAAAUAUUUCAACUUGAAAAUCAGCUGAUUUGAAGAUUUCAACUUGAAGAUUGACGGGGUUGAAGAUUUCAACUUGGGGACUUCAACUUAAAUACACUUGAAGACUUCAACUUGGAGACUUCAAUGGCUUAAAUAUUUCAGCCUCUCUUUUGAUUUACAUUGUUCGACUUUUAUCUUAGUCGUAUAAUUUUCAUUUUUAUGUGCUUGUAACAAAUGAUUUAUAUCUUGUCGUGGGAUAGUCCAAAUAAUGAACUGUUUGAUGACUUCAAUAUAUAUCAAAUACUAAGAAUCAAAAAACCUUCAGAAUCACCCGAAUAAUAUUUUGAAACCAACUUUAGAUUUCACCAUGUUGAAAAUUUUAGAUUUACGCAGUCUCACCAAAAAAAUCAUAUCUCGAUGUAGAAAUAUCGAAAUUGCAAACCGUUUGAUUUCAAGAAAACUAGACUUCAAGAUCUAGAACAUAUCCCAAAUUCUUAAUCAAACAACUUCAGAAUCGUCCUAGAAAAUAUUUUGAAAUCAACUUUAUAUUGCACCAUGCUAUCAAUUCAAGAUUUAUGCAGUCUCACCAAAAAAUUUAUAUCUCGGUGUAGAAAUAUCGAAAUUGCAAACCGUUUGGUUUAAAAAAAAAACUAGACUUCAAGACCUAGAACAUAUUCAAAAUUCUUAAUCAAACAACUUCAAAAUCGUCCCAGACAAUAUUUUGAAAUCAACUUUAUAUUGCACCACGCUAUCAAUUUCAGAUUUGUGCAGUCUCACCAAAAAAUUCAUAUCUCGGUAUGGAAGCCUAGAGAUCGGAAGA
rnacentral:lncRNA from 1 species